GGUAUUGUAAUAAGACUUUAAUUGAGUGCUAAGAGAAUGGAAAUACAGGAAUUGACUUUUUUAAUCUUAAUUAUUGAAGUUAUUUUUAUUUGUGAAGAAACAAUAAUUUAAAUUAAGGACAAGAAGACCCUAAGAAUUUUAUAAAAUUAAUAAUUUAACCUAAAUUGUUAAUUUUUUUAAUUGGGGCGAUUAAUUAAAACUACGAACUUUUUAAAAAAUUAAAAAGAACCAUUA
rnacentral:rRNA from 1 species